GAUGAACGCUGGCGGCGUGCCUAAUACAUGCAAGUCGAGCGAACAGACGAGGAGCUUGCUCCUCUGACGUUAGCGGCGGACGGGUGAGUAACACGUGGAUAACCUACCUAUAAGACUGGGAUAACUUCGUGAAACCGGAGCUAAUACCGGAUAAUAUAUUGAACCGCAUGGUUCAAUAGUGAAAGACGGCUUUGCUGUCACUUAUAGAUGGAUCCGUGCCGCAUUAGCUAGUUGGUAAGGUAACGGCUUACCAACGCAACGAGGCGUAGCCAACCUGAGUGGGUGAUCGGUGACACUGGACCUGAGACUCGGUCCAGAGUGCUACGGGAGGCAGAAGUAGGGAAUCUUCCUCAAGGGGCGGAAGCAUGACAGAGCAACGCAGCGUGAGUGAUGAAGGACUUCGGAUCGUAAAACUCUGUUACUAGGGAGGAACAAAUGUGUAAGUAACUAUGCACGUCUAGACGGUACCUAAUCAGAAAGCAACGGCUAACUACGUG
rnacentral:rRNA from 1 species